rnacentral:rRNA from 1 species
CACGUAGGGGACGAGCGUUGUCCGGAUUCAUUGGGCGUAAAGCGCGCGUAGGCGGCUCGGAAAGUCGGGCGUGAAAUGCCGGGGCUCAACCCCGGGACUGCGUCCGAUACUUCCGAGCUGGAGGUAGGUAGGGGGAGAUCGGAAUUCCUGGUGUAGCGGUGAAAUGCGCAGAUAUCAGGAGGAACACCGGUGGCGAAGGCGGAUCUCUGGGCCGAUACUGGCGCUGAGACGCGAAAGCGUGGGGAGCGAACAGG